rnacentral:lncRNA from 1 species
GGUGCUUUGUUUGUUUGUUUAUUUGUUUUUUGUGUACUUGUUCACCGCUCAGUACUUCUCUUGGAGUUAUCUUUUUCGGUUUGGAAUAAAAUAGCGUCACUAUGACUCUAAUAAGGAAGACGACUUUAAUGCUUCUUUGAAGAUCAACCUCCCCUCCUCCUUCAUCGCUUCUUUUCUUCUACAUCUUUCUGGGUUUCUGGGUCUUGUUUGCCGAGACCUCUUAUGGCUGGCGGUAAUGAAGUUAAUCUCAAUGAAUCCAAGGUAUAUAUAAUUUUUUUUUUCUGUUCUUCUACUGUUCGUCUCUUAUGCCUUUUUUUUUUUCUGGGUUAGUUUAUUCUUCUUGUUGAGUUGGAUUGGAGCAGAGCAAAUUGGUUUUCUUUUUUCUUCUUUUUCUUUUCCUCUCUAAACAAUGAGUUGAAGGAUGUAAUAAUUUUCCCAAUUCGUGCUUUUUUCCAAUGAAUUUUUGUUGAUUAAGAGGUAUCAUGUUGUUUUAAUUCCUGGGUUUUGCUUGAUUUCAUCUGGGUCUGUUCCAGUUUCUUCGUUCUGGAUUUAAAUUUUGGGAUAAAAAGUUUAAGUUGGGAAGUUUGUAGGUUUUCUUCCUGCAAAUUUGGUCUAAUUUUAGACCAGCCCUUUUCUUCUACUUCUUACAAAUUUGCAUUCAUCAUUUUAUGGUCUUUGAUUACUUUUGCUCCUGUUCUUCUCUGUUCUCUAUUGUUGAAUCGUUCAUCUUCUUUGUAGAGAGUUGUCCCGUUGAAUACGUGGGUCCUCAUUUCAAAUUUCAAGCUGGCUUACAACAUCCUCCGCCGUUCCGACGGCUCAUUCAACCGGGAACUCGCCGAGUUUCUUGACCGGAAAUUGCCGGCAAAUACAAUCCCAGUUGACGGGGUUUUCUCUUUCGAUCAUGUCGAUCGAGCCACCGGCCUUCUCAACAGAGUUUACCAACCAGCCCCCAGCAACCCCACUCAAUGGGGAACUGUUGAUCUCGAAAAUUCCCUCAGCACAACCGAGAUUGUUCCAGUCAUUGUUUUCUUCCAUGGCGGAAGCUUCACUCAUUCAUCAGCCAAUAGUGCUAUCUAUGACACCUUCUGUCGC